UACGGGGGGGGCGAGCGUUGUUCGGAAUUAUUGGGCGUAAAGGGCGCGUAGGCGGGUCUUUAAGUCAGGGGUGAAAUCCUGGAGCUCAACUCCAGAACUGCCUUUGAUACUGGCGACCUUGAGUCCGGGAGAGGUGAGUGGAACUGCGAGUGUAGAGGUGAAAUUCGUAGAUAUUCGCAAGAACACCAGUGGCGAAGGCGGCUCACUGGCCCGGUACUGACGCUGAGGUGCGAAAGCGUGGGGAGCAAACAGG
rnacentral:rRNA from 1 species